AUGCAGUGGUUCUCCUCCGGCUCCGGGCCCUCCUCCUCGGCGGCGGCGUCCUCCUCCCAGCCGUCGCUGCUCGCGGAUUGGAACUCCUACGCCGCCGCCCGCUCCGCCGAGGACGCGGGCGAUGGCUUCGGGAUCGACAUCGAGGGCCGCCGUCCGCUCCGCCAACGACCGCGUCGCCGGCACCUUCGGCGUGGUCUCAAAAGGUGUUAAAGGGUUGCCUGGCAGCUUCAAGUCCACAACAAGCAGUGUUACAUCUGGCGGAUCUCUCAUGUAUUUCGGACUGUUUCUUGCUAGUGGCGUAUUCCUAGUUUUCAUUGCAUUCACAAUAUUUCUGCCAGUCAUGGUGAUAAUGCCUCAAAAGUUUGCAAUCUGUUUCACGGCGGGAUGUGCCUUCAUAAUCGGAUCAUUCUUUGCACUGAAAGGGCCUAAGAAUCAGCUCUAUCAUAUGAUUUCCAAAGAGAGAUUACCUUUCACCGUGGGAUUUGUCGGCAGCAUGGUUGCCACCAUUUAUGUGUCAAUGGUGCUUCAUAGCUACAUACUUUCUGUUUUCUUCUCCGUGCUUCAGGUCCUUGCUCUAGCAUAUUAUGCCAUCUCAUACUUCCCUGGUGGAUCUGCUGGAAUGAAGUUUCUAUCAUCUGCUCUUGUGUCCUCGGUGCUGAGAUGCUUUGGGCGAUGAGUUUUCACCUGACUGCUUCCCAGUGCUGAUUGAAGAACUGAUAUGGAACGAUCUAGUGCUCUGUGUAUCAUCUUCAUUGUUAUGGCAUGGGCCGCUUCAUUACUCCCAGAAGUUUGAUGCUACAUUGAAGCACCGGGUGCCCAGUUAUACAGUAACUUGAUUUUGAGGAAUGAUGUUGGGCCCAACGCUUGUAAGGUAGAAAAAUGAAGAACUCAGGUUGCCUGCAUAGAGUUUGGUUGCAUCAAUUUAGAUUUUUUCGAAAUAGAACGAAUUUAGACUGAGAUCACAUUGUACAAAGUAUCUCAAAACUGGGCCACGAUGUUUUUCUUUAGAAAAAAAAACUGGGCCUCAAUUUGUGCUCAUGGCAGAGGAAGCGAAUACAUGUAUGCUUCAUGUUCUCAUACCUUCCUUUCAGCUCA